GGAUUCUGUUACUAUUUCUCUAAGAGAAGGCUCUGCCACAGCUUGCAAGGAAUUAAUAAGGUCUUCAAACAUAGGAAAGGAGCGGGGAUGAUCGUCGGGAAGACCAUCGGAAAUAGUCCGGAAUCGAAAUUUAGGAUAUUGCCUGAAUCUGGAUUCGACGUUGGUGUGACGGUAGAGAAGCUGUUGAUUGUGAUUCGUGUUGAGGAAAGUAACUUGUAAACCUGCAAGGCAAAAAAGCUCUGCAAGUUGAAGCAUGGAGUUGAUAG
rnacentral:misc_RNA from 1 species